CUACCAGGUUUCGACUCCGCCUUCCCAGUGGCGUUUUGGAGUCCGCUUAAAGGAGCAGCAUCGAGAGGGAUAGUGAGCGAGAACUACUGUAAUGCGCAGGAACCGGUACUUUCGGCUUUGCAGAGAGAGGAGAAGCCGGAAAUAAAAUGACGAAGGGUCAGAGAUUCGGGAGGAAUAGAAUUUGAAGGGAACGCAACCAUUCAACAAGUACUAAUUGAGCGCUGUUCUAGGCACAGAGGGUAAAGCCACAGACAAGCAAACGCACUCAUGGAGUUUGCAUACUAACCGGGUGAGACAGGGGAAAGGAACAAAUGACAAAAAUUUCAGGUAGUGGUAAGGGGUGUGAGAAAAAUAAAGUAGGGGAUAGAGUGAAAUUAUAAGCUGCAUCUCAGAGGAGACCUUUGUGCCCAUACGUGCGUGAUAUGAAGGAAUGAAACUAGGAAGUUAAGGGAUAGAGAAGAGGAACGGCUUUCCAGGCUGAAAGAAAAACAGCCAUAAACCUAGAGAUGUGGAUGCCCCUGCCAUGUUGAGAAACAGCAAAAGGCCAGUAUGGCUGAGCAUUGUCAGCCUGCCAGAGAGCAGGAAUAGUUAGGCUUAGAAAGGUGGGCAAGUAGCCAGAUCCUGUGGAGCCUAUGGGUCAUUAUAAGAGCAACAGGAAGCUCUGGGAGGAGGGUGAGUCCAGGAAUGACUACAUCUGAUUCAUGUUUUUAAAAAGUCUUGCUGUGUGUGUGUGAGAGAGAGAGAGAAGUACACAAUGGAGAAUCACAAAGGCCCACAGGAGACCAGCAAGGAGGCUUUCUUGUUAGCUUGAGCUAGGAUGGCAGCAGAGUACAAGUGAAUCUUGAGAUUAGCACAGAAAAUGAGCAAACAUUUAGGAUCUCUUUUGGCAACUUGGCGUUACUGUGACAUCUCAGCAAGUGAUCAGUGGACUUGAAUCAUUGAACCUGGAGACAGGACUUUUCAAGUUACCCAGGCUGGUCUUGAACUACAAUGUGAUCCUUCUACCUGAGCCUCCUGAGUCGUUGGAAUUAUAGAAAGAAGACCAGAGAGGAACACCAGAGGAAGCUUAAAGAAAGAUCCGAGCCUGGGAUUUAUGCUACUUUAUAUGGCUGAGCUAAAACUCCUUACUCUGUCCACAUCUGCUUCUGGAUGAGAACCAAUUACUUCCAAACAAUGAUACAACCUAAGGGGAAUGCAAAAAAGGACUCCAUCCAUCUUCCCCAUCUUCAGGGCCAUAGACAGGAUCUCACCGAGUUGCUUAGCACCUCACUUUUGCUGAGGCUGGCUUUGAACUUGCGAUCCUCCUGCCUUGGCCUCCCCAGCCACUGAGAUUACAGGUGUGUGCCACCGUACCCAGCUGGGAAGACUAUUUUGAAAGAUAAUUAAUUAAUAUACAAAUUGAGUAUCAGUUGUAUAUUCAAUAGCUUAAUAUGUUCAGGGGAUACAGUGACCAUAAAGCCAAGUGCCAGCAUUCUAAUUUAGAAGACAGCAAUCGGUGGGUUUAAGUGAAGAUAGAAGGAAGGCUCUGUAACCAAAGGAUUAAAAAAACUUGAGUGACUAUCAUUUGAGGGUUUUUUUUUUUUUUUUUAAGUAAGGGCUACAUCCUAAACCAGAGACUAGAGGGUGCUUAACAAAAAUAAAUAAAUAAAAAUAAUGAAGUGUCAGAUACGCAGGGGCUGUGAUUAAAGGCCUUGCUUGGGCUUUGAAUGUGGUCAAGGGAAGAGGUGAAUCAUGUCUCAAAUCUUUCCCUUGCCUUCUGCAAUGGGGGUGCACCUUGUGAAGGAAAAAAAGCCAGGGUGUGUGCAUCUCUUGACAGACAUCUGAAAUAGAUCAGGAUCCUGUUGCAGGCUAGAGGGUUUCCUCAGAACCCCUCUCUUCAUCCCCAAAGCUGUAAAUGCCAAAAUAGGUUAUCAGAAUUUCAGCCUAUGCGAGUAUCUCACUAAUGCUCAUUUGCUGACUUUAAUGAGUUCCAGAACCAAUCUGUGAUCUUACAGUCAGCUCAGGUUUAUCACCAAAAGAAAGUCCAUAAGUCUGGUGUGGGAGGUCAGCUCAGCAGAACACAGCAGGGAGACAUUGAUGUGAAAAUGAAUUUAAAUGAAUUCUGGUGGACAUUGUAAGGCUUCACAGUCCUUUAAUACCAUUAAGCACAAAAAUGUUUGGUGUCUUUGGAUGUCCUGAUGAGCUCGGCUCUUGUAUAAUACCUGUCUUGCAAACCACACUAACUAUCCUUUUGUUCUCUCUUCAAAUUUCACAGCUUCCUCUAGUCUACCGAAAAAGGGAAACUCGUAUCUCCGAGCUGUUACAAUAAAACUAUUGGCAGCCUGUAAAGUGA